rnacentral:sRNA from 1 species
UUUUGCCAUCGUGAAAUCAUUUUCACUUACUAAAGCUGCACGUAGCCUACAGCUAUUGUCCCGUGAGACGUUACAGAAUUGGUCACUCAUUUUUCCGGUCAUGAUCGAAUCAACAUCGGGCGUUCUCUAUACCAUUAGUGUCACAACGACAUUCUCAAGAGGAACGCUCAGGCCUCUGUCUCAAUGUCUUUCUUCAUUCAUCAAUUCACUGCCCUCUCACAACAAUCUGCUCAAGGUGUUGGGAAAUUGGGGUCAGAGCUGUGUUUGACGCAUUGCCACGCUAGGUUCUGUUAAAUAAGCCUAAUCGGUGCGCAUCUCGGGUCAAGUAACGUGCUCAUUCAUUGAGGAUUGCUGAGAGUAAAAGUAGCCCAACGUCCUUGAUAUUUAUGUUUCUAUUUACGUCACUCUCUAGUUUUCCGUCCCUGCCGGAUCAUUCGUUUCCCUUCAUUUUAUGUGACUUUUCUUUCUCAUUCGAGUAUCCCAUUAGCAUUUUCUAUUUUGUGCUAAGCGUUAUGCCCAUUCAGUCUGUUUGCCCAUAGGAUUUCAACUUUUCAGUCACCAAUCAUGAGGCAACAUUUUCUGGCCUCUCUCAUAUCAUUUUGGAGUAUUAUGAUAAUUGGGACCUUGGGAGGGUCCGACGAAUGGGGUAAAAACAGGCAAGAUCUCAUUGACACCGGGGCAUGCCUGCUUCAGCUGCAAACAAACGCAAGCCAUCAACUCUAUGAAGCACUGAGAGGACGUCGAGAUACUCGCCAGGAUGAGAAGGCAAGAGCUUGUAACAACGGCCACGACUGUGACGACUAUCGAAUUGAUGACCGUGGGAAAAAGAAUCAUCGCCUAUGUACGCCGAGUACAUUAACUAUUCGGAAGGAAUGGCGGUUCUUGUCCAAAGCAGAAAGGAGGAAAUACAUUGAAGCUGUGUAUUGUCUUCAAUCCAAGCCAUCAUUGUUUACGGA